ACUCAAAUGAAUAGACGGGGGCCCGCACAAGCGGUGGAGCAUGCGGCUUAAUUCGAUGCAACGCGAAGAACCUUACCUGGGUUUGACAUGAAUGGGUGUUUUACACUCUGGAUGUGAAAGCGUUCAACUUUUUCGAGCGAAAGUUCGAGAAAGGUAAUUCACAGGUGCUGCAUGGCUGUCGUCAGCUCGUGUCGUGAGAUGUUCGGUUAAGUCCGUUAACGAGCGCAACCCUUGUUCUUAGUUGCCAGCAAGUAAAGUUGGGGACUCUAAGAAGACUGGCCCCUUUAUGGGGCAGGAAGAUGAGGAUGACGUCAAGUCAGCAUGGCCCUUACACCCAGGGCUGCACGCGUGCUACAAUGCCUAGUACAGAGGGAAGCAAUACCGCGAGGUGGAGCAAAUCCCCAAAACUAGGCCCAGUUCAGAUUGAAGUCUGCAAUUCGACUUCAUGAAGUUGGAAUCGCUAGUAAUGGCGCAUCAGCAACGGCGCCGUGAAUACGUUCCCGGGCCUUGUACACACCGCCCGU
rnacentral:rRNA from 1 species